rnacentral:rRNA from 1 species
GAUGAACGCCGGCGGCGUGCCUAAUACAUGCAAGUCGAGCGAACGGACGAGAAGCUUGCUUCUCUGAUGUUAGCGGCGGACGGGUGAGUAACACGUGGAUAACCUACCUAUAAGACUGGGAUAACUUCGGGAAACCGGAGCUAAUACCGGAUAAUAUUUUGAACCGCAUGGUUCAAAAGUAAAAGACGGUCUUGCUGUCACUUAUAGAUGGAUCCGCGCUGCAUUAGCUAGUUGGUAAGGUAACGGCUUACCAAGGCAACGAUGCAUAGCCGACCUGAGAGGGUGAUCGGCCACACUGGAACGGAGACACGGUCCAGACUCCUACGGGAGGCAGCAGUAGGGAAUCUUCCGCAAUGGGCGAAAGCCUGACGGAGCAACGCCGCGUGAGUGAUGAAGGUCUUCGGAUCGUAAAACUCUGUUAUUAGGGAAGAACAUAUGUGUAAGUAACUGUGCACAUCGUGACGGUACCUAAUCAGAAAGCCACGGCUAACUACGUG